UCUCUCUAUAUAUAUAUAUAUAUAUAUAUAUAUAUAUAUAUAUGUAUAUAUAUAUACACACACACAUAUAUACAUAUAUAUAUAUACACACACACAUAUAUAUAUACAUACAUACAUAUA
rnacentral:miRNA from 1 species